UCAUUGCACACACGUAUGCAAGCAAAAACCCCCCUUGCGAAUUUGUGAAUGUCCCCACCCCGCCCUGGCCGAUUCUUCUUCAUUUGGGGGUCGCUACCCCAAUGAAGGAGGAGCGGCCGGGGCCCAAGUUCCCGCCUCCCGGACCGGUGAGGGGCCCCGCUCCCGCGUUUGGCUGGCUGGGGACUUGGUGUUUUUUUCCCCAAAAAAACAAACACCCCGAUGGCGCAAUGCAUCAACACUUUCAAAAUAUGACUGAGUACAGAGAUCGGCGCCGGGUGGCUCCGAGCCGGCCGGSGUCCGAGUUGUGAUAAACAAAAACAACUCUCAGCAACGGAUAUCUUGGCUCCUGCAACGAUGAAGAACGCAGCGAAAUGCGAUACGUAUUGUGAAUUGCAGAAUUCCGCGAAUCAUCGAGUCUUUGAACGCAAGUUGCGCCCGGGGCUUGCCCUCGGGCCUUUCUGUCAGAGCGUCACCGCGACACCCACCGACCCCCACUCCAUUCCACUCCACUCCGGGUGGUGUGGUGGGGGUUGAGUGAAAGUGGCCGUCCCSGCGGAUGGGGGCUGGAUCAACCCCCAAUGGCUUUGGGUUGGCUGAAAUGGAGGGAAUUUGGCCSCCGAGGUGACACGGCCCGCUGAUCAGGUGAUCCAAGUGCCSCUCUGGGAACUCAAUGUGUGUUGGCCGUG
rnacentral:rRNA from 1 species